UUUUUUUAAUGCCAAGUUGUUUGUGAACAAAAUGUCUGCCUAACUGCCGACAAGUAGCUUACGGGAGCUCUACUUCAUAAUUUGAGGGCUUCAGCGGAGAAUAUAAGAACACUUUCAAUGCAACAAGGGUCGGGCUGGCGCCGUGGGUUACACAUGCGUGCCUCGACACCUGAGCGGCCACUUUUUCCUCCCGACAGCCAAGCAGCCUGGAGCACUCGUUCCGUUGCGAUAGUGCACCGUCCGCAGCAUUAUCAAGCGCAACCUUCCGGCUCAUGGACAUCGGGUCAAGAGGAGGAAAAGAGACAGCUGCAUGACCAUUUCAACAAGGACGGAAUACACAACCUCUGGAUUCAUGGAAGUUGGCUUCCAAACAACUUCUUUGCAUCUCAACGCAAGGGGGGCAGACACAACUUCAGCUGUGGCAUUCAGGUGUCAUGCUGCCGCUAGGUGAGGUCAUACGCAAAUACGGAGUUAGCUUUCACUGUUAUGCUGAUGACACCCAACUCUACAUGCCCCCAAAGCUGACCAACACGCCGGAUUGUAGUCAGCUGGAGGCAUGUCUUAAUGAAAUUAAACAAUGGAUGUCCGCUAACUUUUUGCAACUCAACGCCCAAAAAACAGAAAUGCUGAUUAUCGGUCCUGCUGGACACCGACCUCUAUUUAAUAAUACAACUUUCACAUUUGACAACCAAACAAUUAAACAAGGCGACUCGGUAAAGAAUCUGGGUAUUAUCUUCGACCCAGCUCUCUCGUUUGAGUCACACAUUAAGAAUGUUACUAAAACGGCCUUCUUUCAUCUCCAUAAUAUCGCUAAAAUUCGCUCCAUUUUGUCCACUAGUGACGCCGAGAUCAUUAUCCAUGCGUUCGUUACGUCUUGUCUCGAUUACUGUAACGUAUUAUUUUCGGGUCUUCCCAUGUCUAGCAUUAAACGAUUACAGUUGGUACAAAAUGCGGCUGCGAGACUUUUGACAAGAACAAGAAAGUUUGAUCAUAUUACGCCUAUACUGGCUCACCUGCACUGGCUUCCUGUGCACUUAAGAUGUGACUUUAAGGUUUUACUACUUACGUAUAAAAUACUACACAGUCUAGCUGCAGCCUAUUUUGCCAAUUGUAUUGUACUAUAUGUCCCCGCAAGAAAUCUGCGUUCAAAGGACGCCAGCUUAUUAGUGAUUCCCAGAGCCCAAUAAAAGUCUGCGGGCUAUAGAGCGUUUUCCGUUCGGGCUCCAGUACUCUGGAAUGGCCUCCUGGUAACAGUUUGAGAUGCUACCUCAAUAGAAGCAUUUAGGUCUCACCUUAAAACUCAUUUGUAUACUCUAGCCUCUAAAUAGACCCCCUUUUUAGACCAGUUGAUCUGCCGUUUCUUUUCUUUUUCUCCUCUGUCCCACUCUCCCUUGUGGAGGGCGUCCGGUCCAGUGGCCAUGGAUGAAGUACUGGUUGUCCAGAGUCGGGACCCAGAAUGGACCGCUCAUCCAGAGUUGGGACCCAGGUUCGACCGCUCGCCUGUGUAUCGGCUGGGGACAUUCUCCGCUUGGGAUGGUUUCCUGUUGGCUCCUCUAUGGACGGGACUCUCGCUACUGUGUUGGAUCCACUUUGGACUGGACUCUCACGGUUGUCGAGCGGGUCAUGUUAGACCCGCUCGACAUCCAUUGCUUUCGAUCCCCUGGGGGUGGUUGCCCACA